rnacentral:misc_RNA from 1 species
AACUUUUAGCAAUGGAUCACUUGGCUCUCGCAUCGAUGAAGAACCCAGCGAAAUGCGAUAAGUAAUGUGAAUUGCAGAAUUCAGUGAAUCAUCGAAUCUUUGAACGCACCUUGCGCUCCUUGGUAUUCCGAGGAGCAUGCCUGUUUGAGUGUCAUUAAAUUCUCAACCUUCCAACUUUUAUUAGCUUGGAUAGGCUUGGAUGUGGGGGUUGCAGGCUUCAUCAAUGAGGUCAGCUCUUCUUAAAUGCAUUAGCGGAACUUUUGUGGACCGUCUAUUGGUGUGAUAAUUAUCUACGCCGUGGAUGAGAAACAGCUUUAUCAAGUUCAGCUUCUAACCGUCCAUUGACUUGGACAAUUUUGACAAUUUGACCUCAAAUCAGGUAGGACUACCCGCUGAACUUAAGCAUAUCAAUAAGCGGAGGCU